GACGAACCGUGCAAACGUUGUUCGGAAUCACUGGGCUUAAAGGGCGCGUAGGCGGGUUCGCAAGUCUGUGGUGAAAGCCCCCAGCUUAACUGGGGAAGUGCCGUGGAUACUGCGAGUCUUGAGGAGGGUAGGGGCAUCUGGAACACUGGGUGGAGCGGUGAAAUGCGUUGAUAUCCAGUGGAACUCCGGUGGCGAAGGCGAGGUGCUGGACCCUUUCUGACGCUGAUGCGCGAAAGCCAGGGGAGCAAACGGG
rnacentral:rRNA from 1 species